GACCAUGGGUAUCCCCUUGUGGGGACACUGCGCAUCACUUUCCUUGAUAUCCCCAUAACAACUGUGGCUUGUAGUCAUAGUCGUAGUCAUAGACACAUCUAAUGGGAGAGAUGAAGGAACUUGGGUGAUAUUUUAUUCUCAGCAUGACCUGGAUUCCUUUGCUGGGUGACCCCAUUCCCAGGACAGUCCUCGGGGCUGAGAGCCGAGAGCCGAGAGCCGAGAGCCUCUGAGCUACAGCCUUGAAGGCUCUCCAGCCUUCUAUCAGAUCUCUGUUUUUGUUAAGCAGCUGUUAGCUUCCUGUACACGUUGGGUAUCCUAAUUACACGUGACAUAACUAUGUCUGGCCAUGUCUUUAGGUUUAGUUAACCCAUUUAAUGCAUUUCUAAUACUAUCUAAAUACAAACAUUUAUUCAGUAAACAAGUGUGAACAUUUGCACAGUAUUUUCUUGUGAAUGAUUCUCACAGCGAUCCAAUUGAAUAUGAUGCAUUGUUCAGUGAUGUGUGGUAGUUAUGCGCUACAGCCUAUUCAUUUCAGCAGCAUUCCUGAAUAUGCCAAGGGAACAAUAGAGCAUGAACAGAAGCACUUGCAGCUAUCCCUCUGUUCUUUUCAGCUGCCCACCAGACAACUUCUUACAGUUCUGUCUGCUCAGUGAUUCAUCUUUUUAGUGGUAUUUAUAAAUCAAAUAUUUGUUCUAUGAGUAAUAUUAAAAUGUUAACAAAGAAGGUACUCUGAAAGAAAAAUAUAAUGAAGGCAAACAGCCAACGAGAGGACAGUUGGAUUUUUCUCAGGCUAUGCCAAUCUAUAAACUAUAAAUGCUGUCUGGUUACACUUGAAUACUGCUAAUCUGCAUGUAUCUGGGAGCGCUAGCAUGACGGCUACGAUGUUACAUCAUGACACCUAACACUAAACGCUCUUUUGGACUUCUAGCAUUUCCUACUGGAAUCAGCUGACUUAGCAUUGUUAGAUACACAUAACUAGACUUCUUCUCAAGUAUGCAAGUAUUUGACCGACUGUUUCUAGUAAGCAGAUGCUAUCUACAAGCAAUAUAUGCAAUGGCUGUUUUUGCCUUCCUUGGCAAAAACAGUCAUUGAGAUAUUGGUAUUCAGGCAGUAAAUUAAAUCAGUUAGAGAUAUGACAAAAGGCAAGCCUGGGCACAGCCACUGUUUCAGAUCUGGCAUCCUACAAUCAGAUUUAUGUACAAAGAUCUUUGCAUCGGCCCCACUGGUUUCAGUGGAGUUUCACAGAAGCACUAGAAUUCACCCCUAUGGACUUCAUUUCAGAAUCACAGCCUAGAUUAUCAGCAUAUACUACAAAGAGAAAUGAUUAUGAACACCCUUUGAGCUACCAUACACACUGCCACUAGAGCUGUGAUUCUCUUUAUUGCUAUGUAAUUAUAGACUGCCCUCUUACUACACUGCAUCAUUCCAUCCUAAUCCUGGGAGCCCAACAGUUCAUCCAUGAAAUGGUUCACCCAUCAAGUCCAUAUCUUUCCCAUAUAAAGAGAAGGAUGUUGUGGGGAAACAUCCGAGGCCUUAAUGAGGUCCAGAUAGAUGAUAUCGGUGGCUCUUCCCUCGCCCACUGAUGCAGUUACUCCAUCAAACAAGGCCACCAGCUUGGUCAGGCAGAACCUUCCUUUGGUUAAGCCACAUUGAAUGUCAUAUAUCACCUCCCUCUCUUCUAUGUGCCCUAGCAUAGCUUCCAGGAGGAUCUGCUCCAUGAUCUUCCCCAGCACAGAGAUGAGACUGACAGGACAGUAUUUCCCUGUGUCAUUCUUUUACCCUUCUUAAAAAUGGGUAAGACAUUACCUUUUUUCCAGUCAUCGGGGACUUGACCUGAUUGCCAUGAUUUUUAAAAUAUCACUGGGAGCAGCUUGGGGACUAUGUCAGCCAAUUCCCUCAGGACUCCAAGAUGCAUCUCAUCAGGACUUGCAGACUUGUGGAUGCACAGGUUCCUCAGGCAGUCGUGAACUUUGCUUUGUAUCUUUGCUUACAGUGGGAGAAUCAUUGCUCCACCAGACCCUAUCUUCCAAACCAUUUGCUCAAGGACUGUGCGAAGAGAAGUUGCCAGAGAAGACUGAGGCAAAGCAUUUGCUGAGUACCUCAGCAUUCUCCUUGUCUGUUGCUACCAACCUGCCCAGAUUGCUCACUAGGGAGGGUACACCAUCCUGAACUUUCCUUUCCAGUUUAACAUAUUUGUAUAAGAUUUUCUUAUUCUUCUCUGCACCCCUUGCCAAGUCCUGUUUCAGUUGAGCCUUGGCCUUCCUGACCCCAUCCCUACACAGCCUAGCAGCAUGCUUUACUCCUCUCAGAGUACCUGUCCCUGCUUCCCCUGCCUGUUCAUUUUCUGCUUUCUCUCCAGUUUGACCAGCAGGUCACAGUUCAGCCAUGUCUCUCUCUUGCCUUCCAAACAAGACCUGUGUCAACUUGUAUGCACCGCUGCCUUACAUGGGGAAACAAAGCCCCACCUCUCGCUACCUGGAAAAUAAGGAUGAUUGGGGAUUUUCAGAGGGAGAAAGCAUGCCCAGGUUAACAUGUGGUCUUCCAGAUCUCAGGGUGUAAGGAACAGAGGGCCCAAUAUGCCCACCAGACCCAACCCAUAGGAAAGUCUGCUGCCGCCCUGAGGCUUGCUUAAGUGAUGUUGCUAGAAGACUCACUGCCUGGUACAGCCCUCCAGUUAUUAUCCAUUCUUGGUUUUUCAUACAGCAGUGAGGUAGCAAAAAGAAGUCCAAGGGCAAUCAAAAGGGACUUCAGAGCCAUGGGGUGAUUGGUUAAAGGAUCAGGAGCACAACUUGUGUUUUCCUCUGCCCUUCCAGUAGCAGGGAACAAUACCGAUAUUCCUUUCCACCUGACACAGUUUAUCAACACAUGGCUCAAAGGCUGGUGUCACUGGCAGUCCUAUGGGUUCCUGAAUAAUGGGAUGGUUCACAUACAGCAGGCCUGGUGGCAUCGGAUGGGAUGCACCUUUCUCAGAGGAGGAAAUGGAUUUUGCAUCAGUUAGCUGGACUGAGCCAUAGAGCUUUAGAUUUGAAGGGGGAAGUGAUAAAACCAGGCUCACUAGUAGUAGUCUAUGGAAUGGCACAUCAAAAUUUGAGGGACUGCAUGUUAGUGAGAUCCUUCAGACUGCUCCAGGAGGUGUUGUGUACAGUGAGGCACAUUUGAAAUGUUUCUAUACCAAUGCAUGCAGCAUGAGGAACAAAGAAGCCUUGGCUCAGUCCCAGAGCUAUGACAUCAUUGGCAUCAGUGAAACCUGAUGGGAAGAGUUCUGUGACUUCAGGCUGCUCAGGAAGUUAGUUUGCAAGGUCCUCAGGGAAACUGCUUUUGAAGGCACUGGAGUUCAUCAGUGCUAAUCAGGUUUUACAUAUAACCUCUUGAGAGAACUGGAACAGGCAAUUCCAAAAUGCUAGAAGACAAGCAAGUGGGACAGAAUGUUAACUUGACUGAGCAGGGAUCUUCUAGACCUUAGGCAGAAAAAGAGAGUUAUGGCAACUGGAGGUGAGAUAGGCUGACGUGGGAGGACUACAAAGAUGCUCCUGCACAGGGAGAAAAUGUCUGCUUUUAAAAUACACUAACUGCAAAAGCAGAACCACAGGUAACAGUGGUCCAUUAACUAAUGGGGAAGGCCACUUCUCCAGUGGGGAUGUGGAUAAAACAGACAUUUAAUGCCCUCUUUGUUUCUAACACUGAUAAUAGGCUCUGGGAACCCUAGAGACCUGAGCUGGAGGACUGUAACUGCAGUAACAAUUAACUCCUGAUCAACUGUGAACAUGUGUGGGAUUUGUUGCUCCACCUGGAUAAAUCUGCAGGGCCAAAUGGAUUAAUCCCAGGGUACUCAAAGAGCUGGCAGUUGUCUUCCCGAGAUCUCAAUUAUUUUUCAGUACUCUGGGGAAUCUGGAUUGGUUCCAGUUAGCUAGAAGUUGGCAAAUGUCCAAGUUUUCAAGUAGGGCAAACGAAGGAAGGCCCUGGUAAUUACAAUUCUAUCAGUCUCACCUUGGUGCCUGGCACAAUUAUGGAAAAGAUUAUUCUGGGAGUUACUGAAAAACUCUUGAAAGACAAUGCAGUCACUGGCCACAGCCAAAACAUGUUCCUGAGGGGAAAUCCUGUGUAAUGAACUUAAUCUCCUUUUAUGACAAGGUUACCCACUUAGUUACCAAGGGAAGUCAUUUGAUGUCAUCUUUUAGGAUUUCAGAAAAGCUUUAGAGACUCUUUCUGUCAGUAUCCUUUUGGACAAAAUGUUCAGCAUACAGCUAGACAAAAACAUACUGCAGUGGGUGAGCAACUGGCCAAUGGAUCAGGCACUUCUAGUAAAUAGGUUACAUCAGGCUGGUUGCAAGUCAUCAGUGACUUUCCACAGGUCUCCAAUUUAGGGUUAUUUCUCUUUAAUAUUUUCAUAAGUGACUUGGGUGCAGGCCUUGCAGAGCUACUGACAAAUUGGAGGGCUGGGCAAUCACCAAUCACAGAAAGUUGAAUGAAAGCAGUGCCAAAUUCUGCAUCUGGGACAGAGCAGCCGUGUUCUAGAUGGGAAGACAUGAGGAGUGCCUGAGAUUUCUUGGUUUGUUAAGUCUACAGAAGAAGAGACUGAAGGAGGACUCCCAGUGGCCUACAGCUUGUUCAUGGUGGCCUACAGCUUCCUCACGAGGGGAACAGAAAGGCAGGCCCUGAUCUCUGCCCUCUGGUAACAGAGAAAGGACCAGAGGGAAUGCCAUAAUGCUGCUUCAGGUUCAGGAUGGGUAUAAGGUAAAGAUUCUUCUCUGAAAGGGCAGUUGGGAACUGGAACAAUCUCUCCAGGGCAGUGGUCAUGGCCCCAAGCUUCUGGAGUUCAAAAAGCACUCAGAACAUGCUCUCACAGAUAUGAUUUGAGAUUUGAGUGGUCCUGUAUGGAGCUGGGAAAAGAAAGAUCUUCGCAAAUUAGAGUGCUGAGAAAUCACCAACCAUAUGAAAUUUAGCAAGAGAAAGUGAUGGAUUCCUCACCUCUAACAGGAGAAACCUGAAUAUAUAUGCAGAUGGGGGGACGAGUGGAUGAAGAAGAGCUCUGUGGAAAGGGAUCUGGGGGUUCUGGUUCAUGACAAGCUGAAUGUGAGUCAACAGUAUGCCCUGAUAAUCAGAAAGACUAACUGUAUCCUGUUGGGUAUCAGGCAUAGCACUGCCUAAUGGCAAUACACAUGAAGUCAUUUGGUUUGUUCAGCAUAGAGAAUAAGAUAUCGAGAGCUAAUGUCAUUGGGGUCUACAACUUUCUCACAAAAGGAAACAGGGACAAGGCACUGAUCACUUUCAUCUAGAGACCAGAGAUAGGACCUAAGGGAACUGCGUCAAGCUGCAUCAGGGGAAAUUCAGAUUGAAUAUUAGGAAAAGGUUCUUCACUGAGAGGAGUGAUCACUCUUCUGGGAGUUGAUAUGAGCUGGCAACUAUCUUCAGGAUUUUCUUGCUGAAGAUGACCCAUUGUCAGGGCUUCCUUCAGGCUGCCAGGAACAGCGUGUGCAGCUGUAAUGGUCAUGACCUGUGAGGGUUGAAUAGCCUCAAGAGUAGAGGACUUGCAGAGAUACCUUGUCAAAUCAGAGGUCAAUUAUCAAACCAGAUUAUGUCACAGCAGACACCAGGAAUGAUGGGACAACAUCUGCAUAUCAACACCUGGAGAGAUACUAUCUAUUCUGAGAAGAUGCCACCCAAAAAGCACCACCUAGAACUUGAACGGAAGAAUCAAGGAGGAAGUGACCCCAAGCUCAGAAAAUUAGAUUGGCUAAAAAGUACAGUUUGAAUUGGAACUAUAUAAGGGCAGAGUUAUGGUAGUUUUUAUAACUAUGAGAUCCAAAGUAACGAGGUUUCUCCUUGGAGACGCUUAUUUUGAGCUGUAAAUCAUAAGAACUACAAAUAAAUGAGGACAGUCUAUCUGAGAUACUGGAAGCAGAAGUCAAGGCUUGAACAAGAGAAUGUUGGAGGUGACAGCAGCAUGAUUCCUUCAACACAAGGUGGAGUGUAAUUCUUGCAAAGUUUCUGGAGUCCCAGGUAGGACCCUAGGUGAUGGCCAUGAGACCUUGCAGCCAAGAGCAAGAAUUUUCAGCUGGAAUCCCAGGGGUGAGUAGUUUGCCUUUACUAGCUCUGCUGACUCACCACUGGUCUUCAAAACUUCAUGUACAUGAUAUUUAACUUCACACACUCUGUUCAGGUCUGGAAAGAGGAAAGAAUGAAUCCAAAAGAUGAAAAUACUCCCAGGGGUCAUCCCAUGUCCUAACGGAACUGCUGAAGAAAAUGAAGGAGGCAGCAUGUGGAACUGACCAACAGACUGUGCAGAAGGAGGCAAUGACAGAAGGCAGCAAUCCCACCCUGCCAAUCUCUGACAAAGAAACACAGGCAGCACAAACAACCGGCAUGCCAGAUCCCCUGGCUGCUGGACAUGGUGGUGUCCCAGGUUGCAGCUGUAGCCUCCCUGACUUCCUCAGGCCGAAUCAUCAUCUUUCCCAGUUCCAGAGGAAUUUCCUGAAUUGCCACCCCUCCCCAGCUGGAUCCAUGUUACCUUUCUCGUGGAUACAAUACAGUCUGAGAAGAGAACAAGCAAUGACGAGAAGGCCAGAAAUCCAUCGGUUGUUGGACCACAUGGAAAGACAUGGAGGAAAAUCACAGAAUCACAGCAUAUCAAGGAUUGGAAGGGACCUCUAAAGACCAUCCAGUCCAACCCCCCUGCUGGAGCAGGAACACCUAGAUCUGGUCACACAGGAACGCGUCCAGGUGGAUUUUGAAUGCCUCCAGAGAAGGGGACCCCAGAACCUCUCUGGGCAGCCUGUUCCAGUGCUCUGUCACCAUCACUGUAAAGAAGUUUUUUCUCAUAUUUAUGUGGAACCUCCUGUGUUCCAGCUUGCAUCCAUUUCUCCUUGUCCUAUCAUUGGAUGUCACUGAAAAGAGCCGGGCUCCUCAAUACAACAAAGGUCUUGCAGAAAAUGGUCCUUUGCUCUGUUUUGGUAAUUGGUGCACUGAAAAAGA